rnacentral:lncRNA from 1 species
UGCAAAAUUUUGCGAUAAGAUAUAAUUGGAGUUUUAUUUUUGCCUCAGUGCCUGAAAGCUAAUUUCUGCUAGGGUGGUAGUUAAGUAAACUUGGCGUUCUACUUUUAUCCCAAUGGUGGUGCAUUGAUGGCUUAAUUGAGUCCCAGCCCACAAUGAGACAUUCUUAGUUUGCUCUUAAAAUUUACAUUCUUCAUUUUUGACUCUCAAGGCUAGGGAUGAAAAUGGAGUGAAAACUUUCCACUUUUCUGAAGGAAAAAUGAAAAC